rnacentral:rRNA from 1 species
AUUCCCCUUAGAGUUUGAUCCUGGCUCAGGACGAACGCUGGCGGCGUGCUUAACACAUGCAAGUCGAGCGGUAAGGCCUUUCGGGGUACACGAGCGGCGAACGGGUGAGUAACACGUGGGUGAUCUGCCCUGCACUUCGGGAUAAGCCUGGGAAACUGGGUCUAAUACCGGAUAUGACCUCCUAUCGCAUGGUGGGUGGUGGAAAGAUUUAUCGGUGCAGGAUGGGCCCGCGGCCUAUCAGCUUGUUGGUGGGGUAAUGGCCUACCAAGGCGACGACGGGUAGCCGACCUGAGAGGGUGACCGGCCACACUGGGACUGAGACACGGCCCACACUCCUACGGGAGGCAGCAGUGGGGAAUAUUGCACAAUGGGCGAAAGCCUGAUGCAGCGACGCCGCGUGAGGGAUGACGGCCUUCGGGUUGUAAACCUCUUUCAGCAGGGACGAAGCGCAAGUGACGGUACCUGCAAAAGAAGCACCGGCUAACUACGUGCCAGCAGCCGCGGUAAUACGUAGGGUGCAAGCGUUGUCCGGAAUUACUGGGCGUAAAGAGUUCGUAGGCGGUUUGUCGCGUCGUUUGUGAAAACCAGCAGCUCAACUGCUGGCUUGCAGGCGAUACGGGCAGACUUGAGUACUGCAGGGGAGACUGGAAUUCCUGGUGUAGCGGUGAAAUGCGCAUAUAUCGGAGGAACACCGGUGGCGAAGGCGGGUCUCUGGGAAACAACUGACGCUGAAGAACGAAAGCGUGAGUAGCAAACAAGAUUAGAUACCCUGUACUCCACGCCGUAAACGUGGGCGCUAAGGUGUGGUUCCCUUCCACGAGAAUCUGUGCCGUAGCUAACGCAUUAAGCGCCCCCGCCUGGAGAGAGUACCGGCCCGCAAGGACUAAAUAACUCAGUAGUAGUCGACCGGGGCGCCCCAGCACUAAGCAGACGUGCAUGUGAUUCACUUCCGAUGCACGCGAAACAAUCCUUUACCCUGUGGAG